rnacentral:rRNA from 1 species
UACGAGGGGGCGAGCGUUGUUCGGAAUUAUUGGGCGUAAAGGGUGCGUAGGCGGUUCCGCAAGUCCUGUGUGAAAUCUUCGGGCUCAAUCUCGAAGUCUGCACGGGAAGCUGCGGGCUGAGUGUGGGAGAGGUGAGUGGAAUUCCGGUGUAGCGGUGAAAUGCGUAGAUAUCGGAAGGAACACCUGUGGCGAAAGCGGCUCACUGGACCUUACUGACGCUGAUGCACGAAAGCUAGGGGAGCGAACAGG